AGCGGUGCUUAACGCUUUAUUGUGAACCCGGACGGUUUUGGAUUCUCAAUGUCUCAAUUCGUGCCCGUUAUUCGAACCUUGUUUGGAAUGAAGGAAUUGUGCAAGAGAACGGCGGCGGCUGCAACCCCACCCGGAUCCGACGGCUCCGGAGGCCACUCCCCGAAUCCGAUAUCAACCGCGUCACUAAGCAUGAGACGCCCUCGCCAUAUCACCCCCGGAGGCAGGGAGAGUGAGAGAGAGAGACGGUGGAAAUGGCGGAUUCUUACUUGGCUCUUCGGUCCCGGCCGUCACUGCUCCUCGUCCUCCUCGUUCUACUCUGCUUCUCUCUGUCCGUGGCGACGGCGUCGGAUCCGGACGCGACGGUGACCGUCGGAGGGAUCAGCGACGCGGAGGGGGCUCCGGUCGGCGCCGAGAUCGAGCAGCUUGCCCGCUUCGCCGUCGACGAAGACAACAAGAAGCAUGUCCUUGUUUGAUCUCUUCUUCGCCUUUUCGCCUCUGUUGCGAUUAUUGGAUCGUCUUCGAACUCCUUUUCGUUCUGUCGCUGGAUUCUCUGCGUCAUCUUUAAGGUGAUUGUAUGAAUUCCAAGAAUGCCCUGUUGGAGUUCGCGCGUGUGGUCAAGGCGAGGGAGCAGGUGGUUGUGGGGACUCUUCACCACCUGACCAUCGAGGUCAUCGACGCCGGGAAGAAGAAGAUAUACGAGGCCAAGGUGUGGAUCAAGCCAUGGCUCAACUUCAAGGAGCUGCAGGAGUUCAGGCAUGCCGGCGACUCCUAAGGAUCCUGGCCUCGAGUGAGGCAAUGUCACGCCAUGAGACUGCAGUCUACAUGCUGUUAGGCUUCUUUUUAUUCUAUGUAUGAGGUAAUAUGAGGGUCUGAGACGAUAAAUUAUUUGCAAGUAAGCAUUUUUUUUCCUGUGUAUUUUGAAUUCCUCGUUAAGUUUUUGAAUGAAUGACGGAUGCGUUGUGUAGAAA